GAACUGGUCUCGCCAUAUGGCGGCCAUUA
rnacentral:sRNA from 1 species